CGCCUUUUGAGGAAGUAGAAGGUCUAACCUGCCCACUGAAUAUUUAAAGGGCCGCGGUAUUUUGACCGUGCAAAGGUAGCAUAAUCAUUAGUCUUCUAAUUAAAGGCUGGAAUGAAGGGUUGAACGAGAUGCUAACUGUCUCACUAAGAUGAGUAGAAUUUAACUUUUUAGUCAAAAGGCUGAGAUGAUGUUGGAGGACGAGAAGACCCUAUAGAGCUUUACAUAAAUUAUUUUUACUUGGUUUAGAAAAUUUAGGGGUUUAAGGUAAAAUAUGUUUUGUUGGGGUGACGGGAAGAUAUAAUAAACUCUUCUGAGAUGUGACAUUAAUGGAUGUCUGUUUGAUCCACAUUUAGUGAUUAAAAGAUUAAGUUACCUUAGGGAUAACAGCGUAAUCUUUUUUAAGAGUUCUAAUCGACAAAAAGGGUUGCGACCUCGAUGUUGGACUAAGGGUUAUUCUCAGGUGUAGCCGCUUGGGAUUUAGGUCUGUUCGACCUUUGAACCCUUACAU
rnacentral:rRNA from 1 species